rfam:Penicillium freii strain DAOM 242723 scaffold_120, whole genome shotgun sequence.
AGCAUGUUAGCUCAGGGGAAGAGCGCCGGGCUCAUAACCCGGAGGUACGUUUCACCGCAAACAAAUUCACCCACAAACUUCAAACUAACAAUUACAAUAGGACCCUGGAUCGAAACCAGGACAUGCUA